rnacentral:rRNA from 1 species
UACGGAGGAUCCAAGCGUUAUCCGGAUUUACUGGGUGUAAAGGGAGCGUAGACGGUGAGACAAGUCUGAAGUGAAAGCCCGGGGCUUAACCCCGGAACGGCUUUGGAAACUGGCCGGCUGGAGUGCUGGAGAGGCAGGCGGAAUUCCUAGUGUAGCGGUGAAAUGCGUAGAUAUUAGGAGGAACACCAGUGGCGAAGGCGGCCUGCUGGACGGUGACUGACGCUGAGGCUCGAAAGCGUGGGGAGCAAACAGG